rnacentral:lncRNA from 1 species
GUAAGUAAUAAUAUCAAUAAUGGCCGAUAUUUAUUGUGGGCUUGUAUACUAUGCUUCACAUGCAUUUCCUCAUUGAAAUCUUCAAACAACCCUGCAAGGGAGUCCUAUUACUAUGCCCCAAUUUACAGAUGAAGAGACUGAGGCACAGAAAAAGUGUGUGUAUCCUCUACACCCACUUGGUUGGAAGGUAAGAAAGUGAGGAAAGAGCUGAGACUGAGAGUCAGGAGUUCCACACUGUGGAGGGCUUGGAACGCCCACCAAGAGCUCAGAAUGGGGCCCAUGGGUGAGGGGCAGAGGGGUUGCUGAGAGGCUUCCUAGGAGCAUCUUGGGUACGAAAGUGGUCUGGGAAGGGAAGAGUCAGGUGGCAGAGAGCCCAGUUAGGAGGCUUUUGCAAAUAGGUCGUGUGUGAAGAGAGGAGGGAGGGCCCAGCGGGUUGGUGGCAGAGGCAAUGGAAAGGAGGGGAAGCAUGAGAAGAGUGGCUCAAAGACAACUCUGCAGGGCUUGGUGACUGUACUGGAAGAGGGUAGAGACAAGAAUGACUCUGAAGUUCCUGGCCUGGGCAACUGGAGGAGCCCUGGGGAAGAAGCCAUGUGUUUGGUUCAGAGAUUCAGGCAUUUGAUGGGCAGAUGGACCAUGGCCCAAGAUUUGAGGUUUGGAUGCUCCAGCAUGCAGUCAGCCACUCUGGUUUCCCUCUCGCUCCUGCACAGGUGUCUUUCUCCUACACCCUGCCAGGAUGCACAGAUGAAGACACUGAGGCCCAUGUCAUGAAGUGCCUUGCCAGGGAAAGCCUGGCUAAGUGUGUACAGAGCUGGAUUUCCAAUCCAGGCCGUCUGACUCAGUGCUCAUUACACUACUCUACGGCUUGGUGCUGGGCUGAGAGAAGGGGAUGUUGAUUCCAGAGUCUGGGGCUCCAUUUGGGGAACUGCUGAUCCUCAGGCAUCCAGACAGUUGUGGGAAAGAUACCUUUCAUCCUCUCCGUCCUCGAGAACUUCAGCAAUUUGUGGAUUCUAAGACAUCCUCCCCUGACUUCCUUGUCCGGGACUGCAACCACCUGGACCACGUGCUCAGCUGCAUUGCCCCUCUCAGAUGCUCAGAUGGGUUGGCUGCACGAGGGCAGGGAUGGGGCCUUUAUGCCUCGGUGAAGGCGGUGUCCAGCACAGGCCAGGCACACCAUAAGUGCUCAGUAUGCAGGCACUGAAUGAAUGAAAGAGAAUGAGUGAAAUGGUGACCUCUGCGUACAUUUAUGAGAAAUCUCAGGACAGGACUGAUACUGGAGGCCAUAGGGUGACAUUCCAGAGGUAGGCUCCUGCCAAAGGGCCCCUUCUCCCUCCCUCCCCUCCUGCUACUCCUCUGGAAUGAAAGGCCUAAAUGGUAGCAUCUCCCUAGAUCCUGGCCCUUUCUGUGGCGCAGCCAGGUACAAUGGAAAGCACACCAGCUUGGGAGCCAGGCAGAUCUGCAUUCUAAUCCUGCCUCCACACCUUACUGACUUGGGUGAAUAAAACUUCGCUGUGCCUC